rnacentral:tRNA from 1 species
UGGCUCAGUUGGUAGAGCAUGGCACUUGCAAUGCCAGGGUUGUGGGUUCGAUUUCCAC